AAAUCCUGUGGUGAGGGAAUCUACGAAGUAACUCCAUGAAUCAUUCCCAUGCCUCGUAUAAGGAUUCAUCAUCAAUUUGUUGAAAAGUGGUGAUCUCACUCCGCAACUU
rfam:Gossypium hirsutum cultivar TM-1 chromosome 11, whole genome shotgun sequence